UACGGGGGGGGGCAAGCGUUGUUCGGAAUUACUGGGCGUAAAGGGCUCGUAGGUGGCCAACUAAGUCAGACGUGAAAUCCCUCGGCUUAACCGGGGAACUGCGUCUGAUACUGGAUGGCUUGAGUUUGGGAGAGGGAUGCGGAAUUCCAGGUGUAGCGGUGAAAUGCGUAGAUAUCUGGAGGAACACCGGUGGCGAAGGCGGCAUCCUGGACCGAGAUUGACGCUGAGGCGCGAAAGCCAGGGGAGCAAACGGG
rnacentral:rRNA from 1 species